AGAACAAUGCCUCACUCCUUGCUUUCCAAACCCAUUUCCAGUCUGUAGACAUUUUGAUCCGGAUUUGGAGGAUCCAAUCCCAUCACAUGGUGGCAGGCCCAACUCCAAGUAUCAACCGCAUAGGGAUACUGGCAAACUUACCCACAUUUCCCUUAACGAGGGUCAUAGAAAAAUGAGGACUAUCCCUAUUAUGGUAAAAGCCACCUGGAAUCAGUGGAACAUUUGUUCCGUCACCGUCUUGUGAGUAAUAGGCUCUGGAAAGCUUUGGCUAGUAACAGUCAUCAUGAACCCGGCCCCGCCCGGAAUAACUCUACCUGUUCCUAUAUUCCUUCAAGUCUCCUGGAAACCGCCUGCGGUCUUUCUUGCUUAAGUUUACCAAAGUUUCACUCGAGUAGAGAGGAAUCAAUGUGCGGAUAAGUUGGCUCGAUUAGGGAGCGGCUUUCGAUAGGAUUAUUCAAACACCUUUUGUGUAUUUGUAGGGUUUCCCUUCUUUGUAUUAAGGCAUUAUUGAAAUUUGAUGCCUAUUGUUGUUCUUUGUAUCAAUCCGUAUUUUGAUUUUUAA